GCUCCCGUCCUGGCGUCUGGUCGCCGCCGCGGGCACCACCUGAGGAGCCGCCGCCGCCGCCCCGCGGGCCCGAGCGACGCGGGUUGGUCAGCCCCUGGACGCAAGCUGCCCCUUGACGGAGCUGCCGCCAUGGCCGACUGGUAGAGCCGGCGCGUCCCGCACCCGGAGGCCAGGUGAGUGCCUGGGCCUGGCGCCUGCGCCUCCACCGGGGGCUGAGGGGGCGUGCGGGGGCGCCCCUCCGGGACC
rnacentral:lncRNA from 1 species